CUCUGUGGUCCUUCCGCCAAAACAUCUGGGCUCCUCCACCUCCCCGAGCCCAAAUGGCCAUGCAGGUCGAACACCAGCUCUGAAGUGGGCAGGGCCCCCAGGGAGGACAGCCACGGGAGCUCAGGCAGCGUCCCCGCCGGCACCUGCCUCUUUGUGCAGCGGCAGUCAGGGCCCUCGGCAAUGAGCUGAACUCGCAGUGCGGUUACGAGGGCAAAUAUGCUCCUUGAGGGCCGGCGAAACUCAGCAGCCCGAGGAAGGCUACUGAUGUGCAUUUCAUAGCCGGCUGCGAAUUUAGGAAAACAGACUUUGCUUCUCGUCACUCAGCCUACGUGACCAGGUUCAGACACAGUCUGCAGCCGCCCGCCUCGCACCCCCACUCUGCAGUGCGGUAUGUGGGGAGCUCAGGGCACAGCAGGCCAGGCCUCCCCGUGGACGUCCAGGAACCAGAACCAAACUGCCCAGGGCCCCAGAGGGGAAGAUGUCUCAGCAGACGGACAGCCGAGGCUCACAUGGCAAGCUCUGGCAGCCUGUCGGUCCCAGGAGAGAGGGGGAGAUGGCAGACGGGAAAAGAAGCCACCUGCUGGGAUGCUGAGACUCGCUUGCAGGAGCUUUUGGAACUGGCUGAGGUCACAGCUGGAACCACUGUGGCCAGCUGGAGUCUGCACAGCCCGAGUUUCCACCCCAGGGUCCCAGUAACUCCGCCCAAAUGUGCACACGAGACCUAUGAGGAGACAUAACUUUCCAGAACCCCCUUUUCUUCCACCAGCCACUUACUCAUCCAAGAACCCACCCCCGAACCUUCCCUAAUAGAAACACUGCAUUAAAGCCAGCGCGGGGAGACAGACGUGAACUGCGCCCCUGUCUCCUUGUGGGUUGGCCUAGAAUAAAAGCUUUUCUUUUCUCAAAAACCUGGUGUCAUAGUAUUGGCCUCCUGCACAUCGGGCAGCGAGCCCUUUUGCUCAGUAACAGGGAGACACAGGCAGAGCCCUUGGGGUGACAAGGGGACAGCCCUGAGCAGCAGCGGCCCCAGCACGCUCCCCGGGUAGAGCAGUGAGCCCAUGAAUAAUGCUGCGCCUGCGCAGAAGGAACGAGGCUGACACCAACAUCCCUGCCCUGCGGGAGGAGGCUGCCUCCGCAGCAGCACCGUGAGCAGGGCCCUUGUGGAUCCACAGCACCGCGGGUCCCCAGCAGCCACAAGGACAGACCCACGCCAGCUCAAGAGACAGACUCACGCCAGCUCAAGAGACGCAGCAGUGACCACAGAGAGUGGCUGUGCACACUCCACCAGGAUAUGAGUGACGCGCCUCUGUGCACCAGCCCAUCAUCCACACUGUCCACGAGACCCUGGAGACAGCAUGGCCACUGCGGCCCAGGAACGCCGCCCACCCACCCACCUGCACUGCUCCGGGUUGAAGUUCACACCUGGCGUUGGGAAUGGGGGUGGGUGAGCCAAGAAAACAACACAGAGUCAAGAGGAGCUUGGCAGGAGGGGGCCCUCGAGGCCUCCAGUCACUGCCAGGUCCCCCGCAGGCCUGAUGCUGCUCAUUUGGGUGACCUCAGCUGUCACCUCUGGGCCAGAAGUCCAGAAAGAGGCAUCUGUCUCCAGCCAGAUGCAGGUAGGAGGCCCCGGGGGCAGAGCUGCACCCAGGCUGGCCCGUGCCUCCGCCCAGGGUGUGCCACCCACCAGGGCACUGCCAGGGUCCCAGCCAGGGCCAGCACCAGGUCCCAAGCCUGGGGAGUUCAAUUUGGUGGAAAUAAUUUAAAAGGAAAGGCCAGGAGCAGUGGCUCAUGCCUGUAAUCCCAGCACUUUGGGAGGCCAAGGCGGGCGGAUCACCUGAGGUCAGGAGUUUGAGACCAGCCUGGUCAACAUGGUGAAACCUUGUCUCUACUAAAAAUACAAAAAUUAGCCAGGCAUGGUGGCGGGCGCCUAUAAUCCCAGCUACUCGGGAGGCUGAGGCAGGAAAAUCACUUGAAUCCGGGAGGGAGGUGGAGGUUGCAGUGAGCCGAGGUUGCCUCAUUGCACUCCAGCCUGGGCAACAAGAGCAAAUGUCUGUCUCAAAAAUUAAAAAAAAAAAAAAAAAAAAAGAAUUGAAAAGGAAAAAAAUAACAACUAUCCCAAAGAGAAGGGAGACGUGGAGAUGUGGAAAAGGGAAGAUGUUGCAGAGGCAAUGUAUCGACAAGUGAAACGGGUGAUUGUGAAGAAAAAUAGCGUCCUGCGUGCAUAGAAAGUAAGGGCUAUUGAAUAUGGAAACAGCUUCUACCUUAAACAAAUCUCUAAGGAAACAUAGUAAGUUGUUAACAGUAGUUAACUCCGGGAGGUGAAAUUAUGAAUAACAUUCUUUCCUUAUACUUAUCUUGAAUUUUAAAAUUGUUCAACAAUGAGCAAUGCAUUAUUGGGUAAUCAAACCUAUUUUGAAUGUGUUACUAAUUUUCUAAGAUAGAAACGCACUCUGAUGGCUAUAAAUUCCUAUAUUAAUAAAGAAGAGCUGAAAUUAUUAACGUAACUUCCCACUGUAGUAAACUAGAAAAAGAAGAGCAAACCACCCUUUCACAAUAAAAACACUCAAGAAGUUAGGAAUCAAAGAGAACCUCUUUGAUUGAAAGGACAUUUACAAAAACCCUGCAGCUAACAUCAUACCCAGUGGGAAAGACUGGAUGCUUUCCCUGAGACAAGCCAAAAGCAAGCAGAAGGAAGGAAAGAAUGAAGAUUAGAAUAUAAAUGAGAUCGAGAAAUCAAAAACAAUGAAUGUCAACAAACCAAACUCAGUUCUUGAAAAAGAGCAACAAAAAUAAUUACCACCUUGUAGCUAAGACUGAUCAAGGAAAAAAAGAGAGAAGGCUCAAAUUGCUAAAAUCAGAAAUGAAAGAGAGGAUAUUACUACUAAUCUUACAAAAAGAAAAAGAACUCAAAGGAAAUCCUAGAGAAAAUUGUAUGCUAAAAAAAUUAGAUGAUCUAGAUGAAUGGACAAAUUCCUAGAAAGACACAAACUACCAAAGGUGACUGGAGAAGAAAUAGAAAAUAUAAAUAGACCUAUAACACAUAAAGAGAUUGAAUUAGUAAGUUAAAAACAUCACACAAAGAAAAGUCCACACUCAGAGGAGUUCACUGGUGAAUUCUACCAAAUGUUCACGGAAGAAUUAAAACCACUCUUUUACAAACUCUUCCAAAAUAUAAGAGGAGGAACUACUUCCUAAGCCAUUUUAUGAGGCCAGUAUUAUCCUGGUGCCAAAACUAGGCAAACAUAUUACAAGAAAAGAAAACCACAGACCAAUAACCUUCAUGAAUAUAGGUGCAAAAAUCAUCAAAAAACAGCUAGCAAAGUGAAUCCAGCACCAUGUAAAAGAGAUUAUUCACCAAGACCAAGUGGGACGUGUCCCAGGAACAUAAAGUUGGUUUAACAUUCGAAGGUCAAUUGAUGGAAUGCACCAUAUUAAUAGUAAAAGGAUCAAAGACCAUCUGAACAUUUGAAUAAGUGCAGGAGAAGCAGCUGACAAAGUCUACCACUCCUUCACAAUAAAAACACUCAAGAAACUAGGAAUAGAAGGGAACUUCUUCAACCUGAUAAAGGACAUUUAUAAAAGCCCCACAGCUAACAUCACACUUAAUGGUGAAAGGCUUGUUCCCUAAGAUCAGUGGACUCGUCUUAAGAUCAGGAGCAAAGCAAGGAUGUCCCCCAUUGUCCCUUCUGUUCAACAUUGUACUGGAGGUUCUAGCCAGGGCACUUAGGCAAGAAGAAGAAAUAAAAGGCAACCAGUUUGGAAAGGAACAAGUAAAACUCUCUUUUUGCAGAUGACAUGGUCUCGUAUAUGACAAAUCCACUAAAAAACUAUUAAAAGUAAUAAAGAAGUUUAGCAAGGUUUCAGAGUUCAAGAUCAAUCUACAAAAGACAAUGUAUGUCUACAUACCAGUCAUUAACAAUUUGAAAUGAAAUCAAUAGGACAAUUCUAUUUAUAAUAGCUUGGACAAUAAUAAAAUAUUUAGGAAUAAAUUUAACAGAAGAAGCAUUAAGACUUAUUACUGGAAACUAUAAAACAUUAUUGAGAGAAAUUAAAGAAUUAAAUAAGCAAAAAGACAUCCCAUGUUCACAAUCAAAAUCACAGAUGCCCUUUUUGGAGAAAUUGAUGAGCUGAUCCAAAAAUUCUUGUGAAGCCAAGGGACCCAGAGGCCAAAGCAAUCCUGGAAAAGAACAAAUUAGGACUCACACUUCCGAAUUUCAAAACUUACUACAAGGCUACGCUCACCAAGACAGCACGGUCAAAACUUACUACAAGGCUACGCCAACCAAGACAGUGCGGUCAAAACUUACUACAAGGCUACGCUCACCAAGACAGUGUGGUCAAAACUUACUAUAAGGCUACGCUCACCAAGACAGUGAGGUCAAAACUUACUACAAGGCUACGCCAACCAAGACAGUGCAGUCAAAACUUACUACAAGACUACGCUCACCAAGACAGUGCGGUCAAAACUUACUACAAGGCUACGCUCACCAAGACAGUGCGGUCAAAACUUACUACAAGGCUACGCUCACCAAGACAGUGUGGUCAAAACUUACUACAAGGCUACGCUCAACAAGACAGUGUGGUCAAAACUUACUACAAGGCUACGCUCACCAAGACAGUGUGGUCAAAACUUACUAUAAGGCUACGCUCACCAAGACAGUGAGGUCAAAACUUACUACAAGGCUACGCCAACCAAGACAGUGCGGUCAAAACUUACUACAAGGCUACGCCAACCAAGACAGCACAAUCAAAACUUACUACAAGGCUACGCCAAGACAGUGCGGUCAAAACUUACUACAAGUCUACGCCAAGACAGUGCGGUCAAAACUUACUACAAGGCUACGCUCACCAAGACAGUGCGGUCAAAACUUACUACAAGGCUAUGCCAACCAAGAGAGUGCAGUCAAAACUUACUACAAGGCUACACCAAGACAGUGUGGUCAAAACUUACUACAAGGCUACACCAACCAAGACAGUGUGGUCAAAACUUACUACAAGGCUACGCCAAGACAGUGCAGUCAAAACUUACUACAAGGCUACGCCAAGACAGUGCAGUCAAAACUCACUACAAGGCUACGCCAACCAAGACAGUGCGGUCAAAACUUACUACAAGGCUAUGCCAACCAAGACAGCGCGAUCAAAACUUACUACAAGGCUACGCCAACCAAGACAGUGCGGUCAAAACUUACUACAAGGCUAUGCUCACCAAGACAGUGUGGUUCUGGCACAAGGACAGACAUCAGUGGAGUCAAACUGAGACUCUAGAAAUAAGCCCUUAUGUUAAUGGUCCACUGAUUUUCAACAAGGAUGCCAAGAUGCUUCACUGGGGAAACAACAGUCUUGUCAACAAAUAGUGCUGGGACAACAGGAGAGCCACAACGAAGACUGACCCUUACCGCACACCAGGGCAAACAAAAAGCGAAAGCUAUAAAACACUUAGUAGAACACAGGCAUAAAUCACGGCAAUGGUUUUCGCUAGGACACCAAAAGCACAAUGAUCAAAGAGAUUGAUAAGUUGAACAUCAUCAAAAUUUCAAAAGCUCGUGCAUCAAAUGACACCAUAAAGAAAAUAACAAGUCAGUGCACAGAUUGACAAAAAAAAUUCAAAUCAUACCUUUGGUAAGAGACUGGCAUCCUUACGUAAAGAACUCUUACGACUCAAUAAUAUAAAAGACAACUCAAUAAUAUAAAAGACAACUCAAUUGAAAAAUGGGCAAAGAUGGCUGGGGGCAGUGGCUUAUGCCUGUAAUGCCAGCACUUUGGGAGGCCAAGGCGGGUGGAUCACGAGGUCAGGAGAUCGAGACCAGCCUGGCCAACAUGGUGAAACUCUGUAUCUACUAAAAAUACAAAAAUUAGCCAGGCGUGGUGGCGUGCGCCUGUAGUCCCAGCUACUCGGGAGGCUGAGGCAGGAGAAUCACUUGAGCCCGGGAGGCAGAGGUUGCAGUGAGCUGAGAUCGCACCACUGCAUUCCAGCCUGGGUGACAGAGCGAGACCCUGUCGGAAAAAAAAAAAAAAAAAAAAAGGGCAAAGGAGAGGGAGAGACAUUUCUUGAAAGAAGACUUACAGACGACGAGGUUAGCAGAGGAGGAGAUGCUCAGCAUGGCGGGUCCUUAGAGAAAUGCCCGUCAAAGCGACAAGGAGAGCCACUUCUCACCCACCGGGAUGCGAGCUUUGUUUUUUUAAUGGACAAUAACAAAUGUUGACAAGAAGGUAGAGAAAUUGGAAUCCUGGGACUGGGCAGGCAGGAAUGUGGAAUGCGGCCGGUUCUUUGGAAAACAGCCCAGCACGUCCACAAAAACUUAAACAUGGAGUUCCCAUAUGAGCCAGCCGUGCAUUCCUAGGUGUCUAAGAGAAAUAAAAACAUACCCACACAAAACCCUGUAAAUAACUGUUCAUGCUACGUUAUUCACAGCAUGUGAAAAGUGGAAACGGCCCUGCGCGGUAGCUCACACCUGUCAUCCCAGCACUUUGGGAGGCCGAGGCGGGUGGAUCACCUGAGGUCAGGAGUUCAAGACCAGCCUGUCCAACAUGGUGAAACCCCAUCUCUACAAAAAAAUACAAAAAUUAGCCAAGCGUGGUAGCAGGUGCCUGUAAUCCCAGCUACUCGGGAGGCUGAGGCAGGAGAAUUGCUUGAACCCAGGAGGUGGAGGUCGCAGUGAGCCAAGAUUGUGCCACUGCACUUUGGCCUGACUCCCUCUCGGGAAAAAGAAAACAGAGCGAGACUCCCUCUAGGGGAAAAAAAAAAUUAAAUAUUAAUUAAUUUAAAAUUUUUUAAUUAAAAAAUUAAAUAUUAAUUUUUUUUAAAAAAAAGGAAAAGUGGAAACAACCCAUAUGUCCACCAACUGAUGAAUGGAUGAACAAAAUGUGGUGUGUCCACACAGCGGGGUCCUCUUCAGCCAUAAACGGGAAGUAAAUACUGAUACACGGUGACAAACCUUGAAAACGGGACAUCAAGUGAAAGAAGUCAGACACCAAAGACUGCCUAUUACAUCAUCCAGUUUCUAUGAAACGCCCAGAAAAGGCAGCUCACAAGUAGCUUCGUGGGUGGCUGUGGCUGAGGGGAGGGGAACGGGAGUGACUGUGAGUAUGCAGGGUCUUUUCAGGGUGAUGCAGAUGUUAUAAAGUUAGAUUCUGUAAAGAUACUGAAAACCACUGACAGGUGCACUUUAUCCAGGUGAAAUUUCUCUCAAUGAAGCUGUUAAAAAAAAAAAAAAAAAAAAAAAAAACCUUCUAUAUGAAAAGUGUUCUCUCUGGCAGGCAUGGUGGCUCACGCCUGUAAUCUCAGCACUUUGGGAGGCCAAGGGGGUGGAUCACUUGAGCUCAAGAGUUCGAUACUAGCCUGGGCCACAUGCUGAAACCCCCAUCUCUACAAAAAAUACAAAAAUUAGCCGGGUGUGUUGGCGUGCACAUGCAGUCCCAGCUACUCAGCAGACGGGUGGGAGGAGGACUUGAGCGCAGGAGGUGGACGUGCCACUGCACUCCAGCCUGGGUGACAGAGCAAAACCCUGUCAAAAAAUGGAAGGAAGGAAGGGAGGAAGGGAGGAAUGAAUUAUUUCCAUCAAGAGAAGAAGGAAGUUAUUUCUGAUUGAGGUGAGAGGGAAAGGGGAUACAGGGUGACAUUCCAUUUCAGGGGGCUGUCAGCUGAUGCCCCAGGUGCCCUCGGCCCACUCUGACCUCUGCGUGGCACCACUCACCCCCACCAGGCCCCCCUCCUCCCUCCCCUGGUGGGGCCCCUUCUACUUCCUGCCACAGGAGCUGGGGAAUGAAUGCCCCCAGGGAGGACACCGGCCAGGUGGGAACCGCAGGACCCCCUGAUGGAGCCGGCCUCACUCCCACUCAUGCGGCCCCUUUCCAGCCUCUCUCCUGCUUCCCGGCAGCACCACCCGAGCUCCCAUGGCGCCCGGCUCCUACCGUCGAUGUAGCCCGGGAUCUGCCCGAAGAUGGUGAGGUAGGAGUGGUAGACGGCCCCUCGGAACAGCCAGUCCACCCGGCGCUCGUUGUGGAUGAGGAUGGCCUGCUUGGCCACCCCGAAGGACACCACCCACACAGCCAGCAGGAAGAGGAAGAAGAAGACGUCCUUCAUCUGCAGGACAGAGAGUGUGUGGGCUACACUCUCCUGGCCCCCGAUGCUCACUGGGCCCAGAGGCAGGCCCAGCAGCGGUGGAGACAGCACUGCCACUCACAGCACAGACACGGCAUGCAGGAGGCUCCCAGGAGCAGUCCUGGGGCUGCCCCCACACCCUCGUGGACUGCCGACAUCUUUGUGCUAGCACCACAAAGUGCAAGAGGGGUCAGACAUAACCGUGACCCAAGGAGGAAAGCUCCUAGAGCUGAAUCAGAGGCCAGGAAUGAGUGCGGUCAGACAUAACCGUGACCAAGGAGGAAAGCUCCUAGAGCUGAAUCAGAGGCCAGGAAUGAGUGGGGAUCAGAGGGGAGAAUGAGGGAAGGCUUCCUGGAAGAGGUGACGUACAGGCAAAGAUACGAGAAGGGCAUUCUUGGGAGCCCAAGGGGCAAAGCAGGGACGGGGAACCUACAGGUGUGUUUAAGCCCCAGUCCGAGCCACUGGCAAGGGGCCUGCCCUCCCCGAGGCCCACCCUGGGCUGCAGGCCGCGAUGGAGCCGGUGCCCCCGCCCCCUUACCAUCCGCUUCACAAUGAUGAUCUUGGGCCCCAGCGUCUUACUGAUGGUAAAAAUGUGCAUGAGCCGGAGGCAGAACAGGAUGAAGUCCAGAGAGAGGAUGACGCGCCCGGGGUACAGCGUCGCCGGGAUGAGCCUGGCCGCCGGGCAGAAGCACACACAUCUCAGCCACCUGCUCACAGCAGCCCCCAGAGCUGUCCCCCGUCGCCCCUCCACCUGUCCUAGCCCAGGUGGGCCCUGGAGGCAAAGGGCUCUGGUGGGCCCUGCAUCCCAGGUGUUCAAAGCUGGCAUGAGAUUGAGGAAUAGAGCCUCCCACUUUUCUUCAGACGCCCAGCCCCACAGGGCAGCCUGGCAUGGGGGCACCUGGAGAGCCAGCAGUUAGCCAGGGCCCUAUUGCCUCCGAGAAAGGGGGCCGCGGCCUCGCAGAGACACGAGAGCAUCACAGGCAGUGCAGUGAGCCCACAGUAGGGAGGCAGAGGGAGAAAGCGGCAGCCGCGUGUCCGUGGAGCUGGGACAAUUCCAGAGGUUGCCAUCUAUGGCCCCUUGCACAUGGACAAUCUCAGCUCUGCCAGGAGCUCUCAUGCCCCUUCUGUGCUCCCUCAACAAUCCCAAGGGUAGGUGGGGCGCUGUUGCCUGGACACCCAUUGGACAGAUGACAAUCCAGGGUUCACAGACGAGCUGAGCCUCACCCGGUGUGGCUGGUUCUGGGCCCGGCCUGUGCUCAUCCCCUGCAGGGCUGGCUGCCUCAGACGGGCCCGCCAUCGGGGUGAGGCCACUCACCUGCAGGUCAGCCCUGCCACGAAGAGCAAGAUUGCGCCGACGUCCAGCUUAUUCCAGAAGUCACUGAAGUACAAGGCUGCCUUCUUCAUCAGCCCGCACUCGUCAGGGUCAUAGAAGAGCUACUGGGAAGAGGGGCGGUAGGAAGGCAGACAGGUUGUCACUCUUACUAUCCUCACUGUCACUGUCACAUCACUAUCCACUAUCAUCAUCACAGUCACUGUCACUAUCAUCACUAUCACUGUCACUAUCAUCACUACCCUUGCUGUCACCAUCACUGUCAUAUCACUAUCCACUAUCAUCACAGUCACUGUCACUAUCAUCACUAUCACUGUCACUAUCAUCACUAUCCUUGCUGUCACCAUCACUGUCAUAUCACUAUCCACUAUCAUCACAGUCACUGUCACUAUCAUCACUAUCACUGUCACUAUCAUCACUACCCUUGCUGUCACCAUCACUGUCAUAUCACUAUCCACUAUCAUCACAGUCACUGUCACUAUCAUCACUAUCACUGUCACUAUCAUCACUAUCCUUGCUGUCACCAUCGCUGUCAUAUCACUAUCCACUAUCAUCAUCACAAUCACAGUCACUGUCACUAUCAUCACUAUCACCGUCACUAUCAUCACUGUCACUAUCAUCACUAUCACUAUCAUCACUAUCAUCACGGUCAGCAAAUCCGAACAUUGGUUCUGAUCUGAAGAGAGCUGGGUCAGUGAGGGAGAUGGGAACAGGACGUGGAGGAACAAUGCAGAAUAGCGCUGGCAGCAGCUACCUCGGCCCCCUGCUCACUCAGCACCUGUGUGUGCAUAUAUGUGUAUGUACAUAUAUUCUGCAUGUAUGUGUGUAUACGUGUGAAUAUGUAUGUGUGCACAUAUGUGUGUGUAUGUAUGUGUGCAUUCUGUAUGUGUCUGCAUGUAUUUGUAUGUGUAUGCAUGUGUGUAUAUGUGUAUGUGCAUGUAUGUGUGCAUGUAUAUGUGUAUGCACAUACAUUUGCAUGUAUUGUGUAUGUAUGCAUGUUUGUGUGUGUGCAUGUGUAUGUGUAUCUGUGUGUCUCUGUGUAUAUGUGUAUUUGCAUGUUUUUGUGUGUGCAUGUGUAUAUAUGUGUAUGUGUCUGUAUGUGUGUGUUCAUAUGUGUAUGUUCAUUCAUGUGUGCAUAUGUAUAUAUGUGUGUGUAUGUGUGUACAUGUUUGUUCAUGUGCAUAUGUAUGUAUAUGUGUAUAUGUGCUUGGGUGAUGUGUAUAUUUGUGUAUGUGCAUGUGUGUAUGUGUAUGUGUGUAUGCAUGUGUAUGUGCAUGUGUGUAUGUAUGUGUGCAUAUGUGUAUGUGUAUAUUGUGUACAUGUGUAUGUGUGUAUGCAUGUGUGUGCUGUAUAUGUAUGUGCAUGUGUAUGUAUGUGUAUAUUUGUGUGUAUGCACACGUGUAAUGUGUGUAUGCAUGUGUGUGCAUGUGUAUACAUGUGUUUAUCUGUGUAUAUUUGUAUGUGUGCAUGCAUGUAUAUGUGUAUGCAUGUGUGUGCAUCUCUAUAUGCAUGUAUGUGUGUCCAUGCAUAUGUGUGUAUGCAUGUGUAUAUGUGUGCAUGUAUGUGUAUGCAUGUGUGUAUGCAUGUGUGUGCAUGUGUGCAUGUGUGUAUACAUAUGCAUGAAUGUGUGUGCCUAUGUGUGUACUGUGUGCAUGUGUGUGCAUGUAUGUGUGUACAUAUGCAUGUAUGUAUGUGUGUGUGCCUAUGUGUGUGUGCAUUUGUGUGCAUGUGUACAUGUGUGUGCAUGUACCUGUAUGUGUAUGCAUGUGUGUGCAUGUGUGUGUGUGUUGGAGCAGCGCCCUCAAUGUCAGGCGCCAGCUGCCUUCCCACAAGGAUCUUUGUUCUGUCAGGGGCCACACUGUUUCUUUAGCAGGCCAAGAGUGCAGGACCUGGCAGGGGCUGUGGGAGCCCCCAUUUGGCCUACUUGGCAGGAGUCCCCACACCCUCCCUAGCCCCAGGCCCCAGGACCCAGCAGCUGGACAGGUGGGGCAGGUGACCAGCAGGACCAACCAGGGCCCUCCCUGGAUCACAGACAGAUGCAGGGAGAAGGAAGUGCCCCCUCUGCUCUCAGGCUGCUGCCCAUGGGGCUGGGGCUGGGGGUGCAUGGAGGCCUCUGGCCCCUUGUAGAGAGGGUCUGGUGGCAGAAGCCCUGUGGCAAGAGGAGAGCCAAGGAGAGCCCAGCAGAGCCAGGGCCACAGCACAGCUCCCAGGCCCCGCCAAGUCCUGGACCUGAUCUUCCUUCCUGGGGACGCCGGUGCCUCCCCCAGGGCCCCAGUAGGCAGUGGUAUUUACACAGUGCACACUGCUUUCUAACUGGGGUAACUGGGGGCCUGGUGGUCCACCAAGGUUAGAGAGCAGAGGUAAGUCUAAGCCAGGACCACUGCCCCGUGGGCUGACCCCACCCCCUCACCACUGCCCUGAGGGUUCCAAGGACCUAGUUCCCAUUCACCGGCUGCCAGCAGGUGCAGGCACCGUGGGGGCACAGUGGAGACCCCACACAGUAAGGGAUUCGCCCCACCUGGGGGGCAGCUUGGCCUCGCCCAGCUCCAGGGAGAUAGCCUCUGAGCCCUUGGAAUGUCCGCCUGAUGAGGGUGUCUUUGUUCCUGGGGCCUGGGCCAUGCCAGGUGGUCCCACAGUGUGAUUUGGGGUGGGGCCCCGGGCAGUUUUCAGUUUGACCUUUGGAGGGCUGGAGACUGAGGUCAACCAUGUGGUGUCAGCCUCGCCUCUGUGACUGACCUCCAGUAGACACCAAGGCCCGCGAGCCUCUCUGGGGACGUGCCUCCAUGCAUGAGGCCACACAUCAUCACCGGGAGGAUGGAGUGCCACCCACACCUCCACAGGGAGGGACUGGCCGGAUGCCCUGGGCUCAGAGCUGUCCUGGAUGCAGCUGCGUCCCUCCCCCUGGCUGGUUUAGUCUGUAGACUGUUGCUUAAUAAACCAUAAGUGAGCAUUGCCACUCCCCAGCGUCUGUGGGUCCUUCUGGCUCGUUAUUGAACGUGAGAGGGGUCUUAGGGACCCCACACCUUGCACUGCUCUUCCUGGGGGAAGGGACAUACUCAUAGUCCACAAGGUCAGGGCAUCCACCUUGAGCUGAUCAGCCGGUCUCCAGGAGGGAAGGAUGCCUGGGCCGAGGGAAAGCAGGGAAGCAGGCGCAGGGGGCAUGAGGAGGGAGGGGCUUGGAGGGCAGCGCCCCAGCCACCCAUUUUGGGGAGGAAACACCGGCUCUGCUCAGCUUGCAGGGAGCUGGGCAGGCUAGAUGGGGUGGGCUCUAAGCCAUGGGUCCCCUAUGAGAAUGCAGCCAAGUGGGUGGCCCCGGGCUGGGGCGUGGAAAAGCG
rnacentral:lncRNA from 1 species